rnacentral:rRNA from 1 species
GACGAACUGUCCUAACGUUGUUCGGAAUCACUGGGCUUAAAGGGCGCGUAGGCGGUCGACCAAGUCAGGGUGAAAUCCUGCAGCUUAACUGUAGAAGUGCCUUUGAUACUGGUCGUCUGGAGGGAGAUAGGGUGUGUGGAACUUCCAGUGGAGCGGUGAAAUGCGUUGAUAUUGGAAGGAACGCCGGAGGCGAAAGCGACGCACUGGAUCUCUACUGACGCUGAGGCGCGAAAGCUAGGGGAGCAAACGGG